rnacentral:rRNA from 1 species
GACGAACGCUGGCGGCGUGCCUAAUACAUGCAAGUCGAGCGAUUCUCUUCGGAGAAGAGCGGCGGACGGGUGAGUAACGCGUGGGUAACCUGCCCUGUACACACGGAUAACAUACCGAAAGGUAUGCUAAUACGAGAUAAUAUGCUUUUAUCGCAUGGUAGAAGUAUCAAAGCUCCGGCGGUACAGGAUGGACCCGCGUCUGAUUAGCUAGUUGGUAAGGUAACGGCUUACCAAGGCGACGAUCAGUAGCCGACCUGAGAGGGUGAUCGGCCGCAUUGGAACUGAGACACGGUCCAAACUCCUACGGGAGGCAGCAGUGGGGAAUAUUGCACAAUGGGCGAAAGCCUGAUGCAGCAACGCCGCGUGAGCGAUGAAGGCCUUCGGGUCGUAAAGCUCAGUCCUCAAGGAAGAUAAUGACGGUACUUGAGGAGGAAGCCCCGGCUAACUACGUGCCAGCCGCCGCAGUAA